AAAUUGAAGAGUUUGAUCAUGGCUCAGAUUGAACGCUGGCGGCAGGCCUAACACAUGCAAGUCGAGCGGUAGCACAGAGAGCUUGCUCUCGGGUGACGAGCGGCGGACGGGUGAGUAAUGUCUGGGAAACUGCCUGAUGGAGGGGGAUAACUACUGGAAACGGUAGCUAAUACCGCAUAACGUCGCAAGACCAAAGAGGGGGACCUUCGGGCCUCUUGCCAUCAGAUG
rnacentral:rRNA from 1 species